rnacentral:lncRNA from 1 species
AGGAGCAGGGCGGGGGGGGGGCGCAGAGCGUGUGUCACUCGCUCUCUCGCUCGGUGUCUAGAGGAUGUGCUGAAUGGUGAGCCGGGAGGCGGCGGCGGCCGAGGAGCGGUAUACGGAGGCGGCUGGCAGCCCGGGCAGCCCGGCUCGGCGGCUCUUCGCCCUCCGAGACUCCGCAUCCACCGCGGGCGCCCGACCCCGCGUCCCGCCCGGGCAUGGCCCGGCGCCUCGCCCGCGAGCGCCCCGCCUGCUAAGCCACGCCGGAGGAGGUGCGGAGGCCGAGAAGCCGGCGAGGGAGCAGACGCGAGAACCUCCGGAGCCGAGAAGGGAGCCCCGCGCCCCGCGCCCCGUCCCUGCCGCGCUCGCCCGGGCCGCCCAGAGCCCCGAUGAGCCCUGAUGGCCGGGGCUCAGCCGGGAGUGCACGCUCUGCAACUCAAGCCCGUGUGCGUGUCCGACAGCCUCAAGAAGGGCACCAAAUUCGUCAAGUGGGAUGAUGACUCCACUAUUGUCACUCCAAUUAUUUUGAGGACUGACCCUCAGGGAUUUUUCUUUUACUGGACCGAUCAAAACAAGGUAAGAAGUAAACCAUGUCUUAUUUUUUCCAGUUAGUUGCUGAUUUGCAAAGGGUUUAUCUUUCUAUCCAUUUCAUGGAUGACUUUUUGCAGUAUAUUUAAAGAUUCUACUUAAAAAGAAUAUCUAAGGUGGAAAAGUCUUGGGAUUUUCCAAAGACUAUAGUUUGAAAUAGUAGAUGUGCUAAAUUCUAGAAUUUUCAGGACAAGAACAUGGAGCUGUGAAUUACCUUUGUUUUAGAGGGAACUUAGCCAGUAUAACUGAUGUAAGCCCCCCCCCUCCAACACUACCCCCUAAAGAAUGAAGAAAAAUGGUGAGAAAGUCACUUUUGAGACUGGUGACUGUAACUGUGGCUUUUUGUUUCCUCUUCCUUCUCCCCUUUGCUGCUUAUUAAGGUUUCUCCCACCUUAGCAGGAAUGUGGCCUUGAUAACUUGUUCACAUUAGAAAAUCAAGUAUAAGACGCCUUGAGCUUGUUUCUUCAACUUUUGGGAGUUUCUUCCCAUUUUAGCUUUCUGCCCACCAUGUUAUGGAUUUAGAAUCUCAUUUAUUAUGAAACCAAUUGAGAUGAUUCCCCAUUGAAUUAUUAAAAAGUAGAAUGUCUGCAGAUCAUGAGAUUUAUCUGGAGUUUAGUGGGCAGUUAGACAAGACUAUUCAUAGAAAGUGGUUAUUAUUUCAAUAGACAAUGCUAUGGUUCUGCACUUCAACUUGCAAGGCCACAGACCACAGAAUAUUUUGGUCCUGUAAGUUCUGAUACUUGGAAAGAGGGGAGAGGCUUUUUUGAGAGGGCUAAAUCCAUACUGAGACCAAUAAAAUAGGAAAUUGUGAUGCGCUCUUUGUCUUUUCACAUCCUAGAGUUAGGUCCCUGAAUCCAAGGUAACUGGUGUUUGUCAACCUAGCUUUCUGCCUUUCAAGGCAGUCUGGAUUUCACCAGUGAGUAGUGGUAUGGAAAUUGCUCUGUGCAAUGGCAUGUUUGGGGUCAAGGUGGAGCCUGGGGAAACUCUUAGGAUGUGGAAAGUAACAUCUGGCCCAUGGAGCCAGGCCUAAGUGGGUCUGUUCAUAUGUCAUCCAAAAGGUAGAUUUGAGCUCUGGGUCCCUGGGGUUAUUUUCUGAAUAUGGGUGCCCUACAGUCAUCUCUGGCCACAGAUGUGGAGCUAAAUAAACCGUAGACCCCCAAACUAAUGUCAAAAAACGUCACUGAGUAAGAUUUCAUACUUACUGUUCAUGUUUAUUACUGGGUGUGUUAAUCACUUUAGCUUUGACAUUCUUUUUGGUUUCCUGCUGUUAUGUAUAAAACAAUGGCUUGAAAGAGGUUUUUUUUUUUUUUUUUUUUCCUCCUAACGGUUAUUUUUAGAACUGUUGAAGCUAUAUUCAUGAAAGAUAUAUUUAUAAUGCCUAAAGCCUUUUUAAAGGCUGGGUAUUUGUACAAGAGACUAAACUGUCAGUUUGAUUUUUCAACGUGUAAAUCAAGCUUCUUUAAAAGCAACAGAAGGUAUUUUGGGGUUUUUAAAUAAUUCAUAGCAACUCAGUUAAGCUCCCCUUUAAGACCAAUCAUAAAUAUUUCUUUGCUUAAGAAAGAGUUUAGGACCAAAAGCUCUUUGAUGUACCUCUGUUGUUUGAAAAUGUCUUUCGAUUGUUUUAUACGAACCAUUUUCUCUUGGUUGCAGUGCUGUUUAUGACCAAUUGAAACACAUAAUGUGGUAGCCAUACUUCUGAAUCUUUAUUACUUUUCUUUUAUGGGUAUCAAUCUUACAGUUCUAGCCAAGAGAUGGUAAUUUUGUUUUUUCACUUUUUAAAAUCAUCCCUCAGUCACAUGUCAGAGUUUGGGGGUUUAUUUUUUAAGUGAAUGAUCACAUAUCAGUAUCUCAAAGAUGAGAGGAUUUAAGAAAAUAAAUCAAACUUUGCGUGACUCCAAGCUUGUCAUUUUCUUCUGGCUUUAAGCCCAGUCCUGGAGCCAGAACAAGUGAGUGUCUCCCACUGCUAGGAGACAGGGGCCUGUAAGUGGUAUAUUAGUGUAAAUGAAUGUGAGAUGGUGCCUACACAUUUGGGCUGACCCGCUGAGCUUUUAGUUCAUGUUUUCGCAUAAGGUUAUUUGAAGGGAUGGGCCGAAUGUUACAAUCACAGUGUUACUUAGAGCUCCACUUUCUUUAAUGACACUUUCUUACCGUUUUUUUCUGACAAUGUUAGUAAUGUGAAUUUAUCACAUGUACUAUAGAGAUUAUGUCUCAGAGGAAAAAAUACACCUUUUUUUUAGUAUUUUCAGACGUAACGUCAAUUUCAAAAAAGAAUAGCGUGUUACAGUAAAUUUUGAGUAAAAUAUGUGGCCACUAAAUAAACACAUGUUGAUAUAAAUUAUUCUCUACAGGAAAAACAGUAAUAAGCCUUCCAUUUUAUCAAGAAAGUUCACAUAGUAUAUUUUACUAUUUCAGUAUGCUCUUUCCUUUAGAUAAUUCUUAUGAUUGAUUGACUUAAAUUGCUUAUUUUUUCUCAAGAGGAAAAAACAUAAUCCCAAAAGGAAAUAAAUAAUAUUCCCUUAUUAUUAUCUAUUACUUUUCCUUUUAAGGAAAAAUGAGGGCAUUGAAUAAAAUGAAUACUAAAUUAACAUUACACCUUAGCUUGGAGCCCAAGCUAAGAUUUAGCGGCACACUUAACUUAUGCACCCAUAUAAUGUUAUAAUAGUCUAUCAUUUUGAUGAAGUCAGUUUGUUCUUUUUUUCUAGAUAUGUACUAAGUGGAGGCAUAUUAAACAGCAUUUUAAAGGCCAAAGCCUGUCCCAAAAAGUAAAAAAAUAAAACAUUUUGGAAAGAAAACAGGUGGUUGUUACCAUAAUUUUGUACGUCUUUAAAAAAUUAUUGGCAUAAGCUGACUUAGAAAAAAUUUCGUUGGUAUAUACUGUGUUAGUUUCAGGUGUAUAGCAGAUUAAAUCAGUUGUACAUAUACAUAUACCCAUUCCUUUCCAGAUUCUUUUCCCAUUUAGGUUGUUACACAGCACUAAGGAGACUUUCCUGUGCUAUGCAGUAGGUCCUUGUUGAUUAUUUUAUAUAUAGUAGUCAUCUGAAAAAAUAUACUUUUAAAGUUUAUCCCCUGAUUUCCCCUUUCCCUCGGGGUUUCUGCAUGAGUUGGGAAGCUUGCUUUGCCAUCUGUGUGAUGGACCUCUCUUCUCCCUGGAGCUUCUUCUUUUUUCUUUGUUCGUGUUUCUCCUUCGUCCCCGAAGCCUGUGCUGAAGUGUUUUGAUUCAUGAUAGCCUGAAGCCUAGCCUGCUCAGAGGCGAGCAGAGUGGCUUAAGAAGUGGCUUCGGACAGUAUUAGGAAUGUGAAUUUAUACAUGCACUAGGCAAAGAAUAUCAUUAUAAGAGCUUUCUUGUUAUAGCACUGGAGGGGGAUCUUACAUUUAGCAGUGUCUUAUCCGUGUCCUCUCUCCUGUCGAGGCCACAUGAUACCAUUGAACCACCAAUUUCAAGCCCCUGGUUUCACUCUCUAGGAACAUUGACAUGCUUCCUUCUGUCUCCCCUCCUUCGAUUUGUCACCAUAGAAAUGAUAGGCGGCAAAGAAGACAGACAGCUCAGGUGAUAGAUGUAGGAAUUAAAAACCAGAGCUGGCAAGUGAUUUUUAGGUAGCAGAAAUGUGCUUGGAUGAAACCUUGAAAGAGAUGUUUGGGGUUGGUGGGAACAGAUAAAUAUGAACACUAUCUUAAGGGAUAAAUGUUCUUACCUUGUACCAGCUCUGGGCUCCUUUUAGUCAUUCUUUCCCUUUUAUUCUUGGCUCUGUAAAUCUUAUUGACUGUAAUUAGCAAAAAUGAGUUUCUGAAUAUGACUAUUUUAAGCAUGGUUGUUUUUCCUCUGUCAGUGUGUUAUGUAAAGAGGACCAGUUUAUUUGUAAUCGUGAGUGAGAAGGGGUUCCUUAACAGCCUGCAUUAGGCUAUGACUUUUCUUUGGAGCUAUGCCAUAUCAGGACCACAAACCAAAAUGGGAAGUGUUAGCCAUGAAAACCAUGUUUAUUACAGGAAGACUCUCUGUCAGAGCUAAAAAAAAAAAAAAAAAAAAAAAAAA